UACAGAGGUGGCAAGCGUUGUUCGGAAUUACUGGGCGUAAAGGGUGCGUAGGCGGUCCGAUAAGUCUGAUGUGAAAGCCCUGGGCUCAACUCAGGAACUGCAUUGGAAACUGACGGACUGGAGUACCGGAGAGGGAAGCGGAAUUCCUGGUGUAGCGGUGAAAUGCGUAGAUACCAGGAGGAACACCGGUGGCGAAGGCGGUUUCCUGGCCGAGUACUGACGCUGAGGCACGAAAGCGUGGGGAGCGAACAGG
rnacentral:rRNA from 1 species